rnacentral:lncRNA from 1 species
AAUGAUUGUUUGUUUUGAAAAUUUCCAUCUUUAAUUUUAGAGUUUAAUUCGUUUUUGUGCUUCCAUGCAUUACUAUGAAAUUGAAAGGUGUUUAUAUCCACCGAAACAGUUCCUAUGAAAUGCGGAUUUGUUUUUUGAUUCAUCGAUGUUUUGUGUGUCAGUUUGCUAAUGCAUUCAAAUUUUUUAAUGAUGUGUAGAAAGCUAAGGGUAGCAAGUAUAUACUGUAUAAAUGUGAUGGAAGAAGAUGAAUGUGUGUAAUAUUUGUUGAGCUGGACUAUUUUAACUGGCAUGAAUUUGAUCAUGCUCGUUCUUAGCCGUUACAUAUUUUCAGUUGGAAGAUGCCACCUUCGUCGUCGCACCUCCGCCCUCCUCCAACGCACCAGGAGCCCACAUCAACGCCACCUCCGCCCUUCGCCGACGCCACUUCCGUCAUCACACCUCCACCGACGCCCACACCGAAUUCUUGAAACUUGAAACCCACUAAUCAAUUGGUAUGGUCUUACUUUUUUUUUUCUUUCCUAUUUUUUUUUUCAAAUACUUUAUUUGGGGUUAUUAUUAUUUUUUUCCAAAAUGAUUUUUUUGUGGUUUACAGUUGCAAAAGACCAAUUAUUUUAAUUUAUGGUUCUGUAUUGUUCUUCAAUUUUUGUUUGUUUUUUUUUUUUGUCUUCUUUUUUUUGAAUGUGUUUUACUGAUAUUUGAUGAAUGUGUAUGGUUUGUUAGUUAUCUUGAAAUCUUAUAGGACAAACUUGUAAUUUUUUCCCUUUACCCAUGCUAGUAGUUGGAUUGGAAUUUCUUACCGUUCACCGCUUGCUGUUGCACAUUGUCACGCCAUUCGCUGCUUGCCAUUGUACAUUACCAAUUGUUCGAGCUUUAUU